UACAGAGGGGCAAGCGUUGUUCGGAAUUACUGGGCGUAAAGGGCGCGUAGGCGGCCUUCUAAGUCGAACGUGAAAUCCCCGGGCUCAACCCGGGAACUGCGUCCGAUACUGGAAGCUUGAAUCCGGGAGAGGGAUGCGGAAUUCCAGGUGUAGCGGUGAAAUGCGUAGAUAUCUGGAGGAACACCGGUGGCGAAGGCGGCAUCCUGGACCAACACUGACGCUGACGUGAGCGAAAGCCAGGGGAGCAAACGGG
rnacentral:rRNA from 1 species